rnacentral:rRNA from 1 species
AGAGUUUGAUCMUGGCUCAGGACGAACGCUGGCRGUGUGCUUAACACAUGCAAGUGGAGCGACGAACCAGGGCUUGCCCUGGGGCAGAGCCGCGAACGGGUGAGUAACACGUGGGUAACCUACCCCGAUGACCGGGACAACCCGAGGAAACUCGGGCUAAUACCGGAUGUGCCCGACGUUCAUGAGAACGUCGUGCAAAGGAAGCUUCGGCCUCCGCAUUGGGAGGGGCCCGCGGCCCAUUAGCUUGUUGGUGGGGUAACGGCCUACCAAGGCUGCGAUGGGUAGCUGGUCUGAGAGGACGAUCAGCCACACUGGGACUGAGACACGGCCCAGACUCCUACGGGAGGCAGCAGUGGGGAAUCUUGCGCAAUGCGCGAAAGCGUGACGCAGCAACACCGCGUGAGGGAAGACGGCCUUCGGGUUGUAAACCUCUUUCAGGAGGGACGAAGGCAGGCCGGUUAAUAGCCGUGCCGGCUGACGGUACCUCCAGAAGAAGCUCCGGCUAACUACGUGCCAGCAGCCGCGGUAAUACGUAGGGAGCAAGCGUUGUCCGGAAUCAUUGGGCGUAAAGCGCGCGUAGGCGGCCCGAUAAGUCCGCUGUAAAAGUCAACGGCUCAACUGUUGAAAGCCGGUGGAUACUGUCGGGCUAGAGUACGGAAGAGGCAAGUGGAAUUCCUGGUGUAGCGGUGGAAUGCGCAGAUAUCAGGAGGAACACCUAUAGCGAAGGCAGCUUGCUGGGACGUUACUGACGCUAAGGCGCGAAAGCGUGGGGAGCGAACAGGAUUAGAUACCCUGGUAGU